ACUGAGGAAUUGUCCGUGCAAAUCGAACCAUUUUGACACCCAAUAGCUAGCCCCCCCUCCCAAACCAAACAAGUCC
rnacentral:tRNA from 1 species